rnacentral:rRNA from 1 species
AGCGAACGCUGGCGGCAGGCUUAACACAUGCAAGUCGAACGCCCCGCAAGGGGAGUGGCAGACGGGUGAGUAACACGUGGGAACGUACCCUUUGGUUCGGAAUAACUUGGGGAAACUCAAGCUAAUACCGGACCACCCCCCCCGGCGCAAGGUUUACUGCCGAAGGAUCGGCCCGCGUCUGAUUAGCUAGUUGGUGAGGUAAUGGCUCACCAAGGCGACGAUCAGUAGCUGGUCUGAGAGGAUGAUCAGCCACACUGGGACUGAGACACGGCCCAGACUCCUACGGGAGGCAGCAGUGGGGAAUAUUGGACAAUGGGGGCAACCCUGAUCCAGCCAUGCCGCGUGAGUGAUGAAGGCCUUAGGGUUGUAAAGCUCUUUUACCCGGGACGAUAAUGACUGUACCGGGAGAAUAAGCCCCGGCUAACUUCGUGCCAGCAGCCGCGGUAA